UACGGGGGGAGCAAGCGUUGUUCGGAUUUACUGGGCGUAAAGGGCGCGUAGGCGGCCACCGCAGGCCGAUUGUGAAAUCUCCGGGCUUAACUCGGAAAGGUCAACCGAUACUGCGGGGCUAGAGUGCAGAAGGGGCAACUGGAAUUCUCGGUGUAGCGGUGAAAUGCGUAGAUAUCGAGAGGAACACCUGCGGCGAAGGCGGUUGCCUGGGGCUUUGCUGACGCUGAGGCGCGAAAGUGUGGGGAGCGAACCGG
rnacentral:rRNA from 1 species